UCUUACAUAGAUCAUCCAUGCUGCAUAACGCUCUUUGAGGUUAUACAACACAGAGGCUUCAUUCAGGUAGGUCAUCAUGGCCAUGUCCUCAAUCUUGUCGUACUUAGGGGGGUUCAUCUCAUAGAUGUCUGCAUCUUUGAACUCUUU